ACAAGGGACAGGAUCAGGCUUACAGAGAAGGUGAAAACAAGAUAUAUAUAUAUAUAUAUAUAUAUAUAUAUGUGUGUGUGUGCAGCAGCACAGGGCAGCAGCAGACGAAGCAGUACGGAUAGUUUUAGUCCCUGCAAAUUAAGAGUCAUCAAUGCGUUUCUACCAUCCAUCACAAGCCCUUCUAAAUGCUAAAUCCGCAUAGAACAAAUACAAUUAAGGUAUCCAGAAUGAAGUUGCAGCACUCAGUACUAUACCAGGAGGUCUGCCUGGGUCAUCCAUACUCUUUCGAGUCAUAACGCGAACAUCAUCAGCCCCACUCCCAGACAAAGUUGUCCAUGUGUGUGCGGUUGAAGCUCCAACACCGCUGCAAAAGCUCAGAACCAUUCUCUCAGCCAGCUUCAACAUACUCUUUCUCCCUUCUGGAGUGGUUAUUACUGUGAAAUGAAACAAACCCUUUGUUAAAUAAUCAUGUAUUUAUCAAAUAUAUUCGUAUUAUAUGUGUUAAUCAGACUACUAUUAAGGUAGAAAUCCUAACUAUUACUUUGUUAAUACUUACCUCCAACAUCUCCUGAAGGAAUAUUGUUAGCCAUUACGCUUGCAAGCCGUUCACAUUGCCUAUCUAAAGUUGCCACCCAUCGCUUUGCCCCAAACGCCAGACCAGAGUUCACCAGUAACUUAUAGAUAUUGUGAACAGCUCUAUCAUCAAAUUCAACAUGUUCAACCCAUGUUACCUACAAAACCGAAAAACAUGCAUGAUUGAAUACAAUUUUCUGAUUUAAGAAAUCUUACGAAGGUGUAAAUCUCUUUCAGGUUUUCUACCUUGGAAUAUCCAUUGGGUUGUUCUUGAAUUAAACAACCAGAGGGCCUUCUUCUAGAUCUUGAAACUGAAGAAGGGCGCAAAUUGUCCAAAGACACAUCAACUACAGCCCAAGUACCAUCAGCAUGUUGUUUACAAUACCUAACAAAGUAGUUUUCUCGGGUUGGAACCAGUGGUGAAGGAACUUGAAACUCAGCUGACAUCUGAUAUAUUAUAUAUCGAUAUGUUAAACUUAUACAUGAUCAUACAAAACUAGAUUUAUAGUUAUGGUGUACAACUCCUAGCUUACCACUUGAAGAGCACCAUUGUAAUUGCCAGCAACACCGGUUGAAAGAACUUCCAAGGUCAUUGCUCUUGAAACAAUGCCAGAAAACACAUUUGACCAUUGAUUCUGAAAAGCCAUUGUGGGGUUCAAGUAAUCAGAUCAUAAUCAAUACAGCAAAUCAAUAGAUCCUACAAAUUACUUUUUAGAUCAAAUUUACACACUUAAAAAUUUGAACAUUUUUUAACAAGGUAUGUGUUUGAAGAAUUUUAACAUGCGUUGUACAUGAAGACUCUAAAUAAAACUUGACACUCAAAGUGUACAAAAAAUUAAAAACGUGUUCAAGUGUAAAAACUUCAUGUUUUAAGCCAUUCUUUUUCCAAUCUUCAUUCAUAAAUGUACAUGUCUUCACAUUCUGAAACAAAAACACUUAAAUCAUGGUACGUAUGUGAAAACUUUACAAGUGUGAUGUCCUUCAUCCAGAUGUAAGUUUAAGCUAAUUUAUAUAUACACUAAAAAGUGUGAGACAAAUUUAUUAGUCUUUUGUGUUUGUAUAAACCAUGACCAAAUAUUGUAUUUGUUGCACAAAAAAGAAAAGGGAUAUUCUGUAGACAUAUACCACAUCCAUUAGAAGUUCAACUAGAGUGAUAUGAUUCAUGAUGACAACUGCGGAUUCUCUUGAAGCCUCAGAUUUUAAUCCCAACUGUUUUGGACCCAUCCCACGAGGAAACAUCCUCAAGUACUCAUCUUCACUCAAGGUCUCGGAUGAGUUUUCCGAGCUUGGAAUCCACAAGGGUUCAUUAACCUGAGCCAUUCUGAUUAGCUCCUCCAUUGCUGCAACCGCCAGCUCUAUUAUGAUUGGCUUGUCUGCCUCGGUUGGUCCUGACACGGACCGGAGAAGGUCAUUUGCCCCAAACAUCUCUCCUACCAUCCCUUGUUGUGGACUAAAACUAGUAACACCUUGAUCAAGUGAUCGAGUUGGUCCAUGAGGCGACAUAUUCGGAUAAUUCAACAUUGGCUUGCCAACAUACUUUGCAGCGAUUCCAGAUAUCCUAUCAAUCUUUUGGAAAACAACAAAUAAAUCAACAAUUUCUUAGACAUGUUGAAUAUACUAUACUAACAAAAAUAUAUAAAGGAUAUUGAAUUCAACUUACCUCUUCACGUAGCCUUGCAUUUUCUAUUCUCAAUUGUUGUUCAUCAAAAGACAUCUCUCCAAUAGCAGCAGGACCACCACAGUUUGGACAAGUGGCAUUGGCAAGGGCUUCUUUGUAACGUAUAUUUUCGGAUCGAAGCUUUUCAUUUUCAUUCCUCAGUUGUGUAUUCUCAUGGCGUUCGUGUU
rnacentral:lncRNA from 1 species